rnacentral:lncRNA from 1 species
UUCUCGGCGCGGCUUUCUAGCUGUUGUGGAUGGAAGCAGUUGAAAGGGCUGGCUCUGGCUCUCAGCGUGAUACAUAGCGAUAAACCAAACACAACUCCUAAUGGUAAAAAAACACAGUCUGAUGCAGACCAUUAUCCCAUUAUGUACAGCAUGAAAAGACUGAAAGGACAUACAAAGGCAUUGUAAAUGCCUUGCGUGGUGCAUGCACAGCGGUGCUGUUAACAUUCAUGGGAUCUGUGUGGGCAUCAAGAGAGGGCACUCCCGCGUGAGGGCAAAGGAGAUGAAAUGGAACUGAAGUGGGAGGUGUGUAGGCUCCUGAAGAGAGCAGCCUAACUAUCCAAUUAAACAACCUGUCUGACUUGGUGGCUUCUCUGGGAGUUUUGUCCCUGAUAACUUGCUGCUUAAGGAAAGCACCCAGGAGCAAGAGAGAUCACACCAUAGUUAAACACAGACAGAGCUUAAAGGGUCAUAUCCUCCUAUCGACGUCUACACCACUCUCCUCAUUGAUUUCCAACAGGGAACGAAUUCAGCAGGCAGAUCGAUGGCAGGAUAUAUUAGUCAAAUGUCACCCAUUUAAAGGUGAAUAAAUGCUUAAUUCUACAAAGCCAAGGGAGGAUGCUGGGGGUGGCUCAUCUUUUGCAGAAAAAUAGGAAAUCCAUUUUUCAUGCAGAUCCGAGUAGAGAAUGUAUCCUUUCUGAUAUGUGACACUUCAGCUAUGCUGCUUCGUCUGCUGAUUUAUAAAUAGGUAACACAGGCCACAAGACCAAGGAAACAAGGAUCGAGACAACUACAUGUGACAUAGUUGAAAUGGUUUGAAUAUUUUGUGCUUCUUUACAAGUUUGUUAACAGCACUUUGUGAUAUGGCAAUCCUAGCACUCACCAGAAUAUCCAUUCAAGUUUUCACUAUGAAAAACGGAAGUGUGUGAGGUCAAGAGUCUGGAACGAGGCCCUUGACAGUGAAUAGGAUUUAGGUUCCUAAGUCAGUUAGGUGUUACAACACUG